CAUUUAGAAUAUUAUAUCUAAUAUAAAAUUUAAAUCUUGAUGUCAUGCCUUAAAUAUACUAACCUGCGAUGGUCAGAUAUUAUGUCACUAUGAAGUAACACAUAACGAUGUGCUUGUGCUAAGGAUUUUUGAUCAAGUACAAUACUUUCAGCUCUUCCCAAAAAUUUUUCAGCAGUUAAGAACUCAUACAGUUCUGCAUUCUCCACAAAGUCAUUAUGCCGUUG
rnacentral:lncRNA from 1 species